rnacentral:tRNA from 1 species
UCUUAGAUGGCCGAAACAAAAUAAGCAAUAAACUUUUAAUUUAUCUAUGGUAUAACAUUACCUCUAAGAA